UGUGGUUAUUUGUAAUAUCCUGUAUGUGUCUGGAGUACUUUGAUGCCUUGGAUUGGAAGCUAACUUAAAAGAUGAACUUUUGAGGGUGUGUUUUCUAUUGUGUGGGGCUUUUGUCGAAAUUAGGAUUCCGAAACACGUUUUUCUACGGUGGGUUCAUUCGACAGCGAUUUACUUUCUUAGAAGUUGCGAGACGGUAUGUUUUUGAUUGCAAUUAUUGGAAGAUGACAGAUCCAUCUUUAAAAUGAUACCAGGUUCGGAAAAAUUGAUACGUCGAAAAGGCAAGAAAAAUGCUGUGAAAGUUGUCAGUUUUAUAAUGGGACCCUAUGGGAAUCGGAAUUAGUGUAAUAUAACCUUUAAAAAGCACAUUUACUGCAAUGUCAAGGUCACAUGGAUUCGUCUGCAAGCGAGACAAGUAGAACAUGAAUUUUAAUUAAUGUUUUGAUGAUUUGGGUGCUAAAAUAGAUGAGAGGUGUCAAUAUUUUGGUCCAAAUGGAUGUUUUAGGUGGUUUUAGACGGUUCCGUAUGGGUGGGGGACCUGGUAUUGACAAGUAAGGGUAACAUUUCCAACAAAUCUUAAAUGUAAAUAUUAUUAUGUCCAUAGAUUGAAGUUUCAGGUGGAGAGUAAGAUGAAAAAUAUGCAAAAUUACAUGCAUGCAACCCAUUUAUGCCAUUUUUCUCUUUGUUUGUAGGCCUGACCGUUUGUCCUUGAGCCGUAGAUGGUCAACAAUCCGCUAGCUGUCUUGCUCUGACUGGUGCACUGGACAUGAUUUCAAUAGUCAGCCAGACCAUGAUUGAGCUUAAGGAUUGUGCUGCGGAUGCAGCCUGUGCAGUUCCGGGAGAAAGUCACUGUCUCGGGCAAUGCGGUCUGGUAUCAGGUCUGGAUGAUCCUUGCCUGACUGCGGGUUUGUGUACACCUCAAUCCGACUCUGUGUCCUGAACAGAGGCCGCAGUGGUGCAGCGCUUGUGGACGAUCCAUCAACAUCCUGAAAGGUCAACACUACACUAAGCUGGGAAAAUCGAUCCUGAUAGUCAUCCCCAGGUAGUGGAAUGAAUGUUCACUGAACUACAGAGGAAUCACACCCAAAUGACUUUCCUGCCACGACAUUAGUGUGGCCACUCGCGUAGGAAUUCCUUAGCAAACAUGCUCUUUUGCAUGGUGACUGUGGACAUUUUUGCAAAACUUAUGCUUUCAACACUGGAUUUUAAAGAGAAUACUUAAUAAAAUGUCGCUAACAGGACUUAUUUAUAUGCGAGAGACUAUCUGGAUGCGCAUUAAGUGUCACUUUGUGUCGUAAGCUGUUGAAGGAGCGAUUUGCGCCUUUUUAAGUGUUAAUUUUGGGUAGCCGGCUUGUAUCAGCUUGAAAGCUGAAAAUUAUGCCUCUCAUCAUAAUAGCAUUAAUUUUUGUAA